rnacentral:misc_RNA from 1 species
GAUGAAUAACGUAGCGAAAUGCGAUAAGUAAUGUGAAUUGCAGAAUUCAGUGAAUCAUCGAAUCUUUGAACGCACAUUGCGCCCGCCAGUAUUCUGGCGGGCAUGCCUGUCCGAGCGUCAUUUCAACCCUCAAGCCCCCGGGCUUGGUGUUGGAGAUCGGCGAGCCCCCCGGGGCGCGCCGUCUCCCAAAUAUAGUGGCGGUCCCGCUGUAGCUUCCUCUGCGUAGUAGCACACCUCGCACUGGGAAACAGCGUGGCCACGCCGUAAAACCCCCCACUUCUGAAAGGUUGACCUCGGAUCAGGUAGGAAUACCCGCUGAACUUAAGCAUAUCAAUAAGCGGAGGA